GGAUACGGGACAGCGACUUUUUACACUGAAUUACCAAAUUCGCAACAUGUUGCAGCAACAUUUGCUUAAGCAUGUGCAGCUUGGCAGCAUGUUGAAUGUAAGUGUGCAUCAUAUUGCUAUGUUAUUACGUGAUCAUGUUAAAUAAAUACUUAUAAGAUAUUUUAUUAACAUUGAAUUGGGAACCAAUUUCUGCUAUGUUAUUAACUGGUCAAGUUAAAUAAAUACUUAUAGGAUAUUUUAUAAACAUUGAAUUGGGAAAACAAAUGUGUGAAGUUUCUGAAAUAUACAUCCUAUAGAAAACAUAGGUUGGAAACCUGGGUAUCUAGAUGUCCGUAUAGAGGGUUGAAUGGUAAGAGAACACAAAUUAAUGGAGAUAUAUAUAGGAGCACGCAAAGAAUAAAAUUAUAAUAGGAAGACAUCAAAAUUAAUUAAUGCUACUUAGAGUAAAUAUACGUCUGUCCCGUAUCCUUACUACUUGGUGGCGCCACCUAUCGGCGAUAAUGUGAACUAACUUCGAUCUUAAUCCUGUUUCUCAACCAUGUAAAAUCCUCUCAAAUCGAUCCUUCGCUCAUUUAUAUUCUCUCUCCUCCCACUUACUGUCAAUGAACCUGUUUUUACGAUUGGUCCCGUGUUGCGAUUCAAACAACCCUCAAACAGCAAAGUGCCUAUAUAAUAACUACUCACAGCUAACAGCUAGGACAUAAACUAGUAAUCUUUCAACAACGAUGGAUGACCUUGAAAUCAUUUUUAUCGAUUCCCAACCGGAAUCAACCAUAAAUCUGGACUCUCAGCCGAGCUCCGUAGACCUGUCCUUGAUUUUUGGGAUUAAGACUCAAACCUAUCUCGAGAGCAACUUGACCUGGUUAAGUGACAUUAAAUGGGAUGAUGACGACGAUGACCCAAGGAAUGCAACGUCUAAUAAUGAUAAUCCAGCAUACAUUUUCCCGGAUGAUGACAACAUUUUCGAUUUAGUAGAUAAUCAGGAUGAUGAUAAAAGAUCUCAACUCCAGGAACUACUUCGG